AUGCUGGAGGUAUCAGAAGUGCGAAUGCUGACAUAAGUAACGAUAAAGCGGGUGAAAAGCCCGCUCGCCGGAAGACCAAGGGUUCCUGUCCAACGUUAAUCGGGGCAGGGUGAGUCGACCCCUAAGGCGAGGCCGAAAGGCGUAGUCGAUGGGAAACAGGUUAAUAUUCCUGUACUUGGUGUUACUGCGAAGGGGGGACGGAGAAGGCUAUGUUGGCCGGGCGACGGUUGUCCCGGUUUAAGCGUGUAGGCUGGUUUUCCAGGCAAAUCCGGAAAAUCAAGGCUGAGGCGUGAUGACGAGGCACUACGGUGCUGAAGCAACAAAUGCCCUGCUUCCAGGAAAAGCCUCUAAGCAUCAGGUAACAUCAAAUCGUACCCCAAACCGACACAGGUGGUCAGGUAGAGAAUACCAAGGCGCUUGAGAGAACUCGGGUGAAGGAACUAGGCAAAAUGGUGCCGUAACUUCGGGAGAAGGCACGCUGAUAUGUAGGUGAAGUCCCUCGCGGAUGGAGCUGAAAUCAGUCGAAGAUACCAGCUGGCUGCAACUGUUUAUUAAAAACACAGCACUGUGCAAACACGAAAGUGGACGUAUACGGUGUGACGCCUGCCCGGUGCCGGAAGGUUAAUUGAUGGGGUCAGCGCAAGCGAAGCUCUUGAUCGAAGCCCCGGUAAACGGCGGCCGUAACUAUAACGGUCCUAAGGUAGCGAAAUUCCUUGUCGGGUAAGUUCCGACCUGCACGAAUGGCGUAAUGAUGGCCAGGCUGUCUCCACCCGAGACUCAGUGAAAUUGAACUCGCUGUGAAGAUGCAGUGUACCCGCGGCAAGACGGAAAGACCCCGUGAACCUUUACUAUAGCUUGACACUGAACAUUGAGCCUUGAUGUGUAGGAUAGGUGGGAGGCUUAGAAGUGUGGACGCCAGUCUGCAUGGAGCCGACCUUGAAAUACCACCCUUUAAUGUUUGAUGUUCUAACGUGGACCCGUAAUCCGGGUUGCGGACAGUGUCUGGUGGGUAGUUUGACUGGGGCGGUCUCCUCCUAAAGAGUAACGGAGGAGCACGAAGGUUGGCUAAUCCUGGUCGGACAUCAGGAGGUUAGUGCAAUGGCAUAAGCCAGCUUGACUGCGAGCGUGACGGCGCGAGCAGGUGCGAAAGCAGGUCAUAGUGAUCCGGUGGUUCUGAAUGGAAGGGCCAUCGCUCAACGGAUAAAAGGUACUCCGGGGAUAACAGGCUGAUACCGCCCAAGAGUUCAUAUCGACGGCGGUGUUUGGCACCUCGAUGUCGGCUCAUCACAUCCUGGGGCUGAAGUAGGUCCCAAGGGUAUGGCUGUUCGCCAUUUAAAGUGGUACGCGAGCUGGGUUUAGAACGUCGUGAGACAGUUCGGUCCCUAUCUGCCGUGGGCGCUGGAGAACUGAGGGGGGCUGCUCCUAGUACGAGAGGACCGGAGUGGACGCAUCACUGGUGUUCGGGUUGUCAUGCCAAUGGCACUGCCCGGUAGCUAAAUGCGGAAGAGAUAAGUGCUGAAAGCAUCUAAGCACGAAACUUGCCCCGAGAUGAGUUCU
rnacentral:rRNA from 1 species